rnacentral:rRNA from 1 species
UACGUAGGGAGCAAGCGUUGUUCGGAUUUACUGGGCGUAAAGGGCGCGUAGGCGGCGCGGUAAGUCACUUGUGAAAUCUCUGAGCUUAACUCAGAACGGCCAAGUGAUACUGCAGUGCUAGAGUGCAGAAGGGGCAAUCGGAAUUCUUGGUGUAGCGGUGAAAUGCGUAGAUAUCAAGAGGAACACCUGAGGUGAAGACGGGUUGCUGGGCUGACACUGACGCUGAGGUGCGGAAGCGUGGGGAGCAAACAGG